rnacentral:pre_miRNA from 1 species
UCAACAUGAUUCUGAUGAUGAUGAUGAUGAUGAUGAUGAUGACCAUCAUCAUCUCCGUGGUCACCAUCAUCGUCAUCAUCGCCAUCACCAUCACCA